rnacentral:lncRNA from 1 species
GGAAGAUGUCCCAUUGCACCCUCCCAAAUCAGUCUGUGAAAAUGGACACAACAGAAACGUGGUGAGAAGGUGGCAGUGAGGAAUCUGCCUUUUCUGGCAUCAAUCACCACACUUCAUUCACAGCCUAACUGCACCGGAGAAGAAGAUACCAAUCACUUGAUAACAUUCAGAUUUAGAGAUACUGAAGAUUACCUUCCUAACCCACCAAAUUCCUUGCUGGAAGACAGGCUACGUAGGGGCCGCAAAGGUACUACAGUAGAAAAAGGAACUCACCAGACAGAAAACGCUGGGAAGGUGUGAGAGGAUAAAUAAAAAGGAAAACAG